AAGGAAGAAGCUUGCUUCUUCUGGAUUAGUGGCGAACGGGUGAGUAACACGUGAGCAAUCUGCCCUUGACUCUGGGAUAAGCGUUGGAAACGACGUCUAAUACCGGAUACGACCCUCGGAGGCAUCUCCUGGGGGUGGAAAGAAUUUUGGUCAAGGAUGAGCUCGCGGCCUAUCAGCUAGUUGGUGAGGUAAUGGCUCACCAAGGCGACGACGGGUAGCCGGCCUGAGAGGGUGACCGGCCACACUGGGACUGAGACACGGCCCAGACUCCUACGGGAGGCAGCAGUGGGGAAUAUUGCACAAUGGGCGAAAGCCUGAUGCAGCAACGCCGCGUGAGGGAUGACGGCCUUCGGGUUGUAAACCUCUUUUAGUAGGGAAGAAGCGAAAGUGACGGUACCUGCAGAAAAAGCACCGGCUAACUACGUGCCAGCAGCCGCGGUAAUACGUAGGGUGCAAGCGUUGUCCGGAAUUAUUGGGCGUAAAGAGCUCGUAGGCGGUUUGUCGCGUCUGCUGUGAAAUCUGGGGGCUCAACCCCCAGCCUGCAGUGGGUACGGGCAGACUAGAGUGCGGUAGGGGAGAUUGGAAUUCCUGGUGUAGCGGUGGAAUGCGCAGAUAUCAGGAGGAACACCGAUGGCGAAGGCAGAUCUCUGGGCCGUAACUGACGCUGAGGAGCGAAAGCAUGGGGAGCGAACAGGAUUAGAUACCCUGGUAGUCCAUGCCGUAAACGUUGGGAACUAGAUGUGGGGACCAUUUCCACGGUCUCCGUGUCGCAGCUAACGCAUUAAGUUCCCCGCCUGGGGAGUACGGCCGCAAGGCUAAAACUCAAAGGAAUUGACGGGGGCCCGCACAAGCGGCGGAGCAUGCGGAUUAAUUCGAUGCAACGCGAAGAACCUUACCAAGACU
rnacentral:rRNA from 1 species